rnacentral:misc_RNA from 1 species
ACUUUUUUUUUUUUUUAAAAAAAAUGAACUAAUACUUAUGUUUCAAAAGUGAUAGUUUGAGACUUCUCAAGUUUAUAUAUUAAGCUUAAGAUUACCAACUUUAUAUAAUUAAGGUUAAGAAAACCAUAUUUUCCAAUAAAAUUUUCACCACAACUAGAAAAUGCGAGGAGAUAUGCUAGAGAAUCUUCAUCACAGUGCUCUAUUGCUCUGAAAUAAAAAUCUUCUAGCACUUCCAAUUUCAUUAGAACAUGGUUUAUUUUUUGGGGGAGCCUAUGCUCAGCUGCCAUACUAAAGAUAUUUAUGAAUGCCACUCUAUGCUAGGGUCCUCCCAAUGCUCAAGGCUACUCUAUUUGUGAGGGUUGGGGGAAGGUCACAUAUUGUACAUGCCAUUCCCCUUGCUUUUUGCAUAGGCUUUUUCCACAAGUCAUCCCCUAAUGAAUGCCAUUCUAUGCUACUGAACCUUAACUUCCAUUGAAGUUUCAACUACACACACGGUGCUUUCUAUUGCUACCUAAAAUGUGUAGCAUUCUACAAACAACACUUUCCACACAGAUACUUCAAGUUAUGCUUACAACAAGAUGUUCAUCUCCCUCCGAUUGCCACACUAAGUCAUUCAUCCAAGGUUUGUCCCAAAAUAGAGGAUUAGUUCAAUUCAGGUACCUGAUGUAUUAUGAAUCCUUAAGUGGCUAACACAUCAAAAUCAGGUGAUGAUUCAACUAAGGCUUUAAUCUCCAAAGGUUUUUCUCAACUUUCACUUUUUAAUUUAUUCAUACUACAUUUAAGUUCUUCCGAGUGCCUUGAAUUCACCAUCAAGUGCUUUACUUGAGCAAACUUGGAGGUAUUUGUUGGUUACAUAAUUGACGAAAAACCACAUUUAGUUCCACUUGCCUUAGCCAGAUAAGUGCUGUAAUCAAUAUAUAGAUAUUAUUGCUGCUUAAAGAUCACAUUCAUGCCAUUCCUGUUGGCUUAAAACAGGCAAAGAAUAAUUUGACCAAUUGAUUUUCGAAGGGAAAGACUCCAUGAAACCAAAUGAAGAUGUCCACAAAAGGACCAAUCCAGAAAUUUUAGACAAAAUAUUGGACAAUUUGAAGUAAUAUGAGUAGCCGUUUGUGAAUGGGCAUGCUGUUGGUGAUACUAUGCAUAAUUUGUUAAGAUUCUUUAAGGGUUUCUGUUCAUUUCUCUCCUUUUUUUUCCUCCUAAGGAGAAGCGGAAAAUCUAUUUUCUUUUCAUUGCCAACAUUCUUGUUUCUGAUUAAGAGCAUUACCAGGUGCAAUGCUAAAGUCUUAACUUAUGAUUGCAUAGAUCUACACAAGUUCGUUAACAACCACCUCAUGCAAAACUGGGAAUAUGCAGGAUGAUGUCCCAAAUCUAAAUUAUUCUUAAUAACCCCAAUUCGUUAGGGGCAAUUGCUGAUUAAUGGCUUGGUUAACAAAUUCCUAGGUGCCAUAUCUACAAAGUACAAAAUGUCCAAACUCAAGGUGGAAAUUUGGGGGGAGUAGAAAUUCCAUGUCUAACACAUGUUAUAUGGUAAUUUUAGCAACCUCUCAACUACUCACAAGGGCUCCUAGUCCCAGCACUCUUUCCAACUGAACUAACACAUUUGAUAAGUGACAUCAUAUACCUAGUUAAUGUAGUAUAUUGAUCAAUUUACACAUAACUCUAUCAAAGAUAAAAGUUCUAGAGAAAACCUGUUUCCAAGAUGGUGUGAGCGG